rnacentral:rRNA from 1 species
CUAGCUACAGGCUUGACACAUGCAAGUCGAGGGGCAGCAUGGUCUUAGCUUGCUAAGGCCGAUGGCGACCGGCGCACGGGUGAGUAACACGUAUCCAACCUGCCGUCUACUCUUGGACAGCCUUCUGAAAGGAAGAUUAAUACAAGAUGUUAUCAUGAGUAAGCAUUUUCGCAUGAUUAAAGGUUUACCGGUGUAAGAUGGGGAUGCGUUCCAUUAGAUAGUAGGCGGGGUAACGGCCCACCUAGUCUUCGAUGGAUAGGGGUUCUGAGAGGAAGGUCCCCCACAUUGGAACUGAGACACGGUCCAAACUCCUACGGGAGGCAGCAGUGAGGAAUAUUGGUCAAUGGACGAGAGUCUGAACCAGCCAAGUAGCGUGAAGGAUGAAGGUUCUAUGGAUUGUAAACUUCUUUUAUACGGGAAUAAACGGAUCCACGUGUGGAUUUUUGCAUGUACCGUAUGAAUAAGGAUCGGCUAACUCCGUGCCAGCAGCCGCGGUAAUACGGAGGAUCCGAGCGUUAUCCGGAUUUAUUGGGUUUAAAGGGAGCGUAGAUGGGUUGUUAAGUCAGUUGUGAAAGUUUGCGGCUCAACCGUAAAAUUGCAAUUGAUACUGGCAGUCUUGAGUACAGUUGAGGUAGGCGGAAUUCGUGGUGUAGCGGUGAAAUGCUUAGAUAUCACGAAGAACUCCGAUUGCGAAGGCAGCUUACUAACCUGUAACUGACAUUGAUGCUCGAAAGUGUGGGUAUCAAACAGGAUUAGAUACCCUGGUAGUCCACACGGUAAACGAUGAAUACUCGCUGUAGGCGAUAUACAGUCUGCGGCCAAGCGAAAGCAUUAAGUAUUCCACCUGGGGAGUACGCCGGCAACGGUGAAACUCAAAGGAAUUGACGGGGGCCCGCACAAGCGGAGGAACAUGUGGUUUAAUUCGAUGAUACGCGAGGAACCUUACCCGGGCUUAAAUUGCAACCGAAUAUGGCGGAGACGCUAUAGCUAGCAAUAGCGGUUGUGAAGGUGCUGCAUGGUUGUCGUCAGCUCGUGCCGUGAGGUGUCGGCUUAAGUGCCAUAACGAGCGCAACCCUUGCCGAUAGUUACUAACAGGUCAUGCUGAGGACUCUGUCGGGACUGCCAUCGUAAGAUGUGAGGAAGGUGGGGAUGACGUCAAAUCAGCACGGCCCUUACGUCCGGGGCUACACACGUGUUACAAUGGGGGGUACAGAGGGCUGCUACCACGCAAGUGGAUGCCAAUCCCAAAAACCUCUCUCAGUUCGGAUUGAAGUCUGCAACCCGACUUCAUGAAGCUGGAUUCGCUAGUAAUCGCGCAUCAGCCACGGCGCGGUGAAUACGUUCCCGGGCCUUGUACACACCGCCCGUCAAGCCAUGGGAGCCGGGGGUACCUGAAGUGCGUAACCGCAAGGAGCGCCCUAGGGUAAAACUGGUGAA